rnacentral:rRNA from 1 species
AACGAACGCUGGCGGCAUGCCUAACACAUGCAAGUCGAACGAGACCUUCGGGUCUAGUGGCGCACGGGUGCGUAGCGCGUGGGAACCUGCCCUUAGGUUCGGAAUAACUCCCCGAAAGGGGUGCUAAUACCGGAUAAUGUCGUCGGACCAAAGAUUUAUCGCCUUGGGCUGGGCUCGCGUUGGCUUAGCUAGUUGGUAGGGUAAAAGCCUACCAAGGCGACGAUACAUAGCUGGUCUGUGAGGAUGAUCGGCCACACUGGGACUGAGACACGGCCCAGACUCCUACGGGAGGAAGAGGUGGGGAAAAUUGGACAAUGGGCGAAAGCCUGAUCAAGCAAUGUGGCGUGAGUGAUGAAGCCCUUAGGGUUGUAAAGCUCUUUUACCCGGGAUGAUAAUGACAGUACCGGGAGAAUAAGCCCCGGCUAACCCCGUG